GAGGUAGACAUAGUCCUGGUCUAAAUGACUGCACAACAGCAUGAGAGCAACUUCUUCAUACAAUAAAAGAGAAUAAACUACUCAUGUUAGAGUAAGGGAAGCCAGACUGGCAUCGAAGGAAAGCUGAGUGCAGGCAGAAGGCCCAUGGGCAACUAUAUGAUUAUUCACAAGCAUCUCAAUCAUAGGAUUUUCUUGGCCAAAGUAGUACUGUCUUCACCUUCUCCCUUAUCUAUCCCUUCCUUCUCCACCAAAGUGGUAACAGAAAUUUUCUCUUCCCUCACAGCAAGGGAACAGUGAGAGAAGUUUCUUCAUUAUAAACUUCUGGUUAUAAGAAUUAUUUCUCCUUUGAUGUCAGAAGCCACUUCUUUGUGUUGUCUUUGACGUCGGACAUCGUCAGCACAAAACCCUUGGAGCCUCCUCCUUUGUGUGUUAAAUAAGCCAUCUGUCUAUGCAGUUGGACUGCUUCAGCUGUCACUGCUGAUGUUAGCUGUUGUGUUCUGGACUUGUCUUCUUAACCCUCCCUGUAACACCACCCACCUAGGCCUUUGGUCAGUCCCAUUCAGCCCAUCAGAAAUGCUUGUACCCGUGAUUGGUGUAUUAUCUAUAAAUAAUGAUACAAAAUUUCCAAAGCUUAAAUUGCUACAUGUCAAUAGGCUCAGAGGAAUUUUUUUUGUGCCUCUUUUUGCUACUGAGCACUUUCAAAACCAUCACACCUUCUGGAAGUGAGGUGUUUAUUGAAUUCCAAGCCAGAAAGUGCUUCACAAAGAAUGUUCUGAGAAUAGAAUUACCAGAUUUUGCUUUCAGGCAACAGAACCUGUAUUUCUGUUUGCCCUUUAGAGUUCAGAAGCUAGAACAACUGUAUAUCCUCCCAUAACUCAUUAGCAGUAAGGAAAUUGUAAAAUAUUUUAUGACCUUCUCCUUCCUCUACUUUUAAAAUCCUUGAAUUCUGCAUUCUGGAUUAUUAUUUAUUUUUUUUUAAAUACCACAGUAAAUGAACUGGAGACUGCACACAAAUCAAAUAUUAACUACACUAAUAUCCAAAAUCACCUAAAUCCUGAGAACAAUGUUGGCUGCUUUCCAACUAAAGAGCACACAGUAUGUGCAUUUUUUCCAGUUCCCUUUCAGAGCUCUAUUAAAUUCAGUGUAUUCUGGUGGUCUUAUACAAUUCAAUUUUUCAAGUAGUCAGCAUAUAUUUUAGAAAAAAAACGUGAAGCAGAGAGAUGCUUAUUUGUUUCCUGUCACAAGCACUGUAUUUGUGGACUGCUCUUGAAGCCCUCCCACAUUCAUCCUCUCUUCCACCCUCCUGAAGAAUCUGAUACACCAUGUCAAAAGCAGAGCCAAUGUUUGAGGAAUAGAGUAUCUGUCUAAAUGGUUUCAUCUGAGUUAUCACUUUUGGUAUGUAGAGUACCUGCUGACAGGGAGCAGAUUCCUUAUUUCCUGCUGUUCAACAUACAACUGGAUCAUAAAUGAAGCUCUUGACAUUGCCUCUAAAAUCUGGCUGCAUCCUCCCAUCAAGUGAUGUCUUCCUCAAGUCCUCAUUUAUCACUUUGAUAUUUCACUUUGAAAGAAACCAAACUUCCAGGGACCAAAGGACCAGAAGGGAACCAUUAGGGGAGGAUGUUUGGGGAGCAAAUUAUCCACACAGACCAUCAAGUUUCGUCUAUUCAUUUUUAUAGGUUCAAGACAAACCUUGAUCAAAGAGACCCUCCCCACCCCCACCACCCCAAACUACAACAGAAGCGAUUUAUAAGGAGAAACUGAUUUUUUGAAGGAAUUUUGCUUGUUUAUUUUAGAGGGACCACCACAAAAUAGAAGUUCUUCAGAGGCCCCUCCAGUUUCUGCUUUGCUUAUUCAAACCAGUGUUCUCACCAAAAUCAACUACUAUGUAUUUUUGAUCUGCCAGAAUUUUCUCCUAAAGAACAGGGAGCUGUUCUGUCUGAGCAGGAGCAGCCACCCUUUCUUUCUAAGUAGUAGAUACAUGCUUUCAGUAAUUGAAUGCAGCUGCUUUCCUUUCUGUCCCUUUUUUAGCUUUUGAAGGAAAUCCUGUUCAGAGAGAUAUCAGUGCCUUCAGCAGGGAUGAGAGAAGGCCAACUGGAAGACCUGCCUUUGCCUUCCAGGGCCAGAUACCAUAUGACACAUUCUUAAAUCACAGCAGAGAAUGUAGGUAUGAUAUUACAGGAAAAUAUGAUUUCACUGCCUGUCUUUUAGAGUCUAUAUAGAUAGCUGGCUUUUCUUUAGAAGAUGGUCUUCCCCAAGUGAGAUAAUCUUCUGCUUUCUCGCAUGGAGAUAUAAUAACUUUCUCUAGUAGGAUAAUGUAUCUGAAAAAAAAGACUUCUAUAGGCAUGGCAUUAUCCCAAUAUGUGCUUUUGCUGUUAAACACCUUGUUUUUUGUCUUUAUAGAGAUUUCCAGGGACUAGAAGUGAGGGAAUUUUCAAUGGUUGAACCUUGAAUCUAUGUCCUCUCAGAUAAUCUUCUGAAACCUUCCACCUCUAAUUCCUAGAAAAUAGAAGAGCAAAAGGAAACUAGUGUGAGCCACUGCUUCUAUUUCAGUUCCACGGGGUCACAUCUACCUGUCAGGAUUAUGCACAGACCUGUUAAAAUGCUCUGUGGAGUUUCUUGAUGCCUGGCUUGUCCAGCUCACCCUUUCUAACAUCAUGCUACUAUUAUGCUGUGCAACUGGCCACUCUGACAGCUUUCAUGAUGCCGAAGUUUAUGGCAACUGUAAAUCUAUUAAGCCACAAUUUGCACUUAAUAAAAUGAAACAGCAAGCAGUUAAAUGAAAGCUCGAUCCUAAACUGGAGAACAUUUUUCAGGAAAAGUCACUGGGGCUGCUGCUGCUACUGCUGCCUGCCUUUGAGAAAUUCAAUCGUGCUGAUUGAGGAAACCUGGAGAGAGCUGGCUAUUCCUUCCUUCAGUUCGUAAUUGCCCCGUAGACCAUUUAAUCAUCUGCGGAUGAAACAAAGGCUGCGCUGUGGAGUGCCGGAUGCCAAGUAAAGCCUGAACAAGCUCUCAGGAGCUGAGCUCAGAGCAGAGAAUGAAGGUCUUCCUGCUGGGGACUACAGCGAGGCACAGAGGCACCUGCCAGGAGAAACCUCUGGACGCUGCCUUGACAAGAAGAGAUAAGCACUGGGAGUUAAAGGAGAGGAACAUGGAUUUGCUGGCUCCCGUAAAAAAAAUUUCUCUGUCAAUGUUAAAAAUGACAUUUUUCAUAUCCUUGUCCUUGUCUUCAUUCCAUACUGAGGUAUUUCUGGGUGACCAAGUGGAUGGCCCUGGUUCGUAGAUGAAUAGUCUGGUCAGAAACACCAUGCCUGGUUUCAUUAACUAAACAAAACCAAAAACCAACAAACAAACAAGCAAACAAAAACCUGGGGAGGCACUCAGAGCUCGAAAACCUGAUCCAGCAUACUAAUUGGUUUGGAAUAUUAGCCUUUAGUUGAGAUUUGAAAUCCAUUUCCUCCUGAAUAUAGGCAAUUUGCCUGACAGUUCAGGCACUACAUGUAAGCUUGACAUGCCGCCCUUCAUCCCUAGAUCAUGUUUUCCGGAAUACACAUUCAAAAUAGUUACAAGAGCUGGUUAUUCCUGGGAGGGUGCCUCUGUCCCCUUCUUAUAAGUAUUCCUCCUGACAAAAGUUUUAGGAUUCGUAAUUCACAAAAACUACUCGCUGCUGACUAAUGCAUGCCAAUUAAGUUCGCCCCUUGAAUCAACAGUUUCCUGUUACCUGUUCCUUCAGGUAGAACAGCAGCUGAUACCCCUGCCCUUUCCCAGGCUUCUGUGCAGGGACCUUUCCUGCCCGAAAACAGUGGGGACACCUGUUUUCCGAGCAUGGAAGGCCAGUACCUGAAAUCUUAGGAAUGGGCCUGCUAUUGAAAACAGGGGGCUUGAUAAGGCAGCCACUGUGAUAGGCAGCGGAAAUUUGAUGAUGAAAGGAGAUGCCUAAUAGAUUAAUCUGGUGUGAUUUGCCAAAACACAGGGUUUUCUGGAAGAUUAUCCACACUCGCAAUAGGAAGCCCUUUGUUUUGUGAAAGUCCCCACUUAUCAUGGUAUUCUUUAUCUCAACAAGAAACAUAAUGGUUUACUUGUUUACAUGCAUGGCAGAUAUAUUCAGAGCUGGGCUUAGGAACUGUGAACUCCUUUUCAUUUGAAACGUUUCCAGCAGGCAGGUUAUUAGCUGAGGGGGAACAAGCAGUUGGACACACAUAAAAUUUAAAUCUGCCUUGCUUAGAUUGGCAAAAAUGAAUGUUAUUUCAUCCACUGGGAAAAUGUUUUACUUCCUGCUCAAAUACUUUUGGAAGAAAAUCACAAGCUCAUUUGUAGCCAUCAUAUAUGUAUGUAUAUAUUUUCUUAGAGUUAAGUGUUAUGUCUACAGAAAUGUAUUUGUUACUGUAUACCGAUUAUUUUCCACUAAUAUUAAUUAUUUUAUUAGCUUGUCUUUACUUCUUCAAUUUUACUUUGCUUACUAUAAAAUGUGACUGAUGGCUUUACAUUAUUUAUACUGAAUGUGUGGCUAGAAUCUAGCCCUUGAUGUACCUUGGAUAGAACUUCUUUGGUUUCUGGAAUUGAUUUUUAAAUACCUUACACAUCCGGGACUGCAGAACUACCAAAGCACUGUGUUCUUGAACUCUGAAAAUAAACAAAAACUACCAUGUUAGAAAACAGUUUUAUUAAAGCCCUUUUUAGCAACCUUGUACCAACAAAACUUUCAGAGUGCAGUAUUAAGCCUGCUAUAUACACAGUGUACAUGCUAUACAAAAGUGUGCACAGCAAGAAGAUGCAUUGUGUUAAAAGAGCUGGGGCGCUCAAAGUACAGGAGUUUGACUAGGUUAUUUUUCUGCAGUCCUAUGCAGUAGCAUAUUGUCUGUACCAUACAGGAUAUAAAUUUUCUGCAGAGGCAGCCAGUUUCCACACUGGGAUAAGUAAGUGGUGGAGGGUCACUUCAAACAAGGCUGAAAGAAAGGGAAGACAAAAAAAAAAAAAAAAAA